rnacentral:ncRNA from 1 species
AAAUUAUAAGAAGGGACCCAACACAGAAAAUUCAUUUUAUUGAAUUUUACAUUUAUGUGCAAGUUGGGCAAAGUGUCUUAUUUUUUAAAAGUAUUUCAAAGUAAAAUUACAUGUUAAUACGUAGUAUUAAUGGCGAGACUCCUGAGGGAGCAGUGCCAGUCGAAGACCAAGGCUGAGACGGCACCCUAGGAAGGGACCCAUCAUCAAAAAUUCUAUUUAUAGAAUUUUACAG